CUACGGGAGGCAGCAGUAGGGAAUCUUCGGCAAUGGGGGCAACCCUGACCGAGCAACGCCGCGUGAGUGAAGAAGGUUUUCGGAUCGUAAAGCUCUGUUGUAAGAGAAGAACGUGUGUGAGAGUGGAAAGUUCACACAGUGACGGUAACUUACCAGAAAGGGACGGCUAACUACGUGCCAGCAGCCGCGGUAAUACGUAGGUCCCGAGCGUUGUCCGGAUUUAUUGGGCGUAAAGCGAGCGCAGGCGGUUUAAUAAGUCUGAAGUUAAAGGCAGUGGCUUAACCAUUGUUCGCUUUGGAAACUGUUAGACUUGAGUGCAGAAGGGGAGAGUGGAAUUCCAUGUGUAGCGGUGAAAUGCGUAGAUAUAUGGAGGAACACCGGUGGCGAAAGCGGCUCUCUGGUCUGUAACUGACGCUGAGGCACGAAAGCGUGGGGAUCAAACAGGAUUAGAAACCCUAGUAGUCC
rnacentral:rRNA from 1 species